CCUACGGGUGGCAGCAGUGAGGAAUAUUGGUCAAUGGUCGUAAGACUGAACCAGCCAAGUAGCGUGCAGGAUGACGGCCCUACGGGUUGUAAACUGCUUUUAUCCGGGGAUAAAGUGCCUUACGUGUGAUGUUUUGUAUGUACCGCAUGAAUAAGGACCGGCUAAUUCCGUGCCAGCAGCCGCGGUAAUACGGAAGGUCCGGGCGUUAUCCGGAUUUAUUGGGUUUAAAGGGAGCGUAGGCCGCAUGUCAAGCGUGCCGUGAAAUGUCCGGGCUCAACCAGGGCCUUGCAGCGCGAACUGGCGUGCUUGAGUCCGCGGAAAGCAGGCGGAAUUCGUGGUGUAGCGGUGAAAUGCUUAGAUAUGACGAAGAACCCCGAUUGCGAAGGCAGCUUGCGGCAGCGGAACUGACGCUGAUGCUCGAAAGCGCGGGUAUCGAACAGGAUUAGAUACCCUUGUAGUC
rnacentral:rRNA from 1 species